rnacentral:lncRNA from 1 species
CUUCAGCUGCCACCGUUCGUGCCCGAGGUGAUCUGCGUAGGGCUCAGAGUACCAGCAGGGCUAUGGCAGGCUUGUUCUGAUGCAGAGCUCCUCAAGUCUCAGGCUAGAGAGGGUGAAGGUGAGGCUGUGGGGAGCAGGGUUCCCAGGGCCACAGGAAAGGCUAGGGGCUUGGUGUAGCCUGGCAGGUCCACACGUCUCAUUGCCCCCACCACACGUGCAGGCAAUUCCUAUUGCUUCUGGAGCCUCCCCAAGGGCAACUGCUCACAUGCCUGUGGCUAGGGCCCUGAGAGGGGACUUUAGUUAGGGAAGGUGCUCUGUUAGUCAAUAGUCCUGGAUACUCCAGCUUGUCACCAACACAGAAGACCGUGAUGAGAUCUUCUGAGUGUGAACUGUGUCACUGCAUGCCAGGUUCUCCUCUGCCAAGAGCAACCGAAAAUGACAUCGGGAUCAUCUGGAGGCCGGAAGGCCUAGCUGCAGCUGGAGAUGAAGCCUGGCCCUUCUCGUGUUACUAAGGGGGAAGAUCUGUUUCCACCGAGGACAGGAAAGGCCCUGGCGGGCAGCCAGGGUAGCUGACUGAUGAGAAGGGAUGGGAAGGGUACCAGAAAGGGCACCGGGACCUGUGCUGACAGAGAUGACCUGUGGCUCACCACACAGGAACCACAGCUUCAAGUGAACUCAGACCACCUGCCUCAACCACAGCUCAACGUGGCCACCUUUCCAUAGUUGGCGAUCGGUGAGACGGCUCUUUUCUGUCAUUCCAACACUUGGGAGACUCGGAAAGGAGGAUCGCAAAUUCAAGGCUAGACUGGGUAAGACACUGUGUCAAAAGUAAAAUAAAAUGAAGUCUGCAAUAUGCUAGGUUCUCAGUGGCAAUAGGUUAUAUUCAUGUAACUCUACAAAUAAAGUAAUUUAUUUACUGAGAGAAAACCUCAUGGAGAUCAGGCUAGCUUUAAAAGUGCUCUAAAGGCAAGGCUGGCCUUGAGUUCUUGAUCCUCCCGCCUCCUAUGUGCUGGGAUUGCAGGCAUCCACCGCCAUACAUUGUUUAGGUGGUGCUGGGGAUGGGUCCUAGGCUUUAUGCAUGUUAAGUAAGCGUUCUACCAACUUAGCUACAGCCCCUAGCCCCCAUCAAAAACUAAUAAUUAACUUAAACAUAUUCCCUGCUCCUGGCCAGUGUCCCCUAGAUUCGAACCUUCCCAACAAUGCUCAAAUGCACGAGAGAAAGUGGAGAACAUGGGGAACUGGUGAGGACAGAUGUAACCCCACCACCACCCCAAGCCCACGAAAGACAAAUGCAACGGCUCGGGGAAACAGGGCUGCUCUCUGGUUCCUGCCCAGCAUUUCGAAGUGCCCUUGUGGAAUGCAGCUGAUCUUAUCAACUGCCACUCCAGAACAGCCAGGAAGACCUGCCAAGUCCCAAGAAUGUGGCCCGGGAAGGGAAGUUCCGGGCGUUUCCAUGGCGCUUGGCCUCGGCAGGGCACUGGGCUGCUGUGUGAGCUGAGACUCGUGACCACUGAGUACACGGCCCGAGCAGGGGCCAUGCCUGACCCUUAGGAGCCCUCCCUGCAGCACGAGGGAGGCCAGCUCUGUGGGAUUUUUCAAAUAUCAACCUCAGAGCACGAGGUCAGACAGCAAUUCACACACCCUACCAUGUCCAAGAUGUCUAGCUCGGGGACAUGCCUGCUCAAUGGGAGGACCGCCCGCAGCCGAGUCGGCGGCUGGGCCCUCUUACUCUGAACAUCUGUGCUGUGCUUCGGGUGGUGCAGAGCAGGCAGCCAGUGGGGCCUUGCACUAGGAGGGUGCUCGGUUCACCAGCAGCACUCCCCAGUUGUGAGUGAAACCUCACAGGAACCCUCUGGAAGGCCCAGGAACCCUGACACUUCAGAGUCUCACCAGGAAUCCUGAGGGUCAAUUAUUUAUGGUUUACUUUCAUUUUAGAUUAUGUGCCUAUGGAGCCCAGAGGUCCACCUUGGCCAUCAUUCCUCAGGUGCUGUCCACCUUGUUUUUUAUAAGACAGGGUUGGCUUUUUGGGGGUGGGGGUGGUUGGUGGCCUGAAAUGUGAAAGUUAGAUAGGCUGGCCCAAAGGGCCCCAGCGCCUGCCACCUCCCUAGCACUACAAGCACAUGCUACCACACUCAACCUUUCUGACAUGGGUUCUGAGGGAUCAAACAUAGGUCCUCCUGCUUGCAAUUGGGCCAACAACUCCAGGACCCUCCCCCCACUUUUGACAGUCUUACUUUGCAACCCCAGUUGGCCCAGAAUUUGCUAUGUAAGCUACAACAGCCUUGGAUUUAUGGCAGUCCUUGCUCUGCCUCUUGAGUGCUGAGAUUAUAGAUGGGCACCAUCAUGCCCAGUUAGGC